GAUUAACGCUGGCGGCGUGCAUGAGACAUGCAAGUCGAACGGACGAGCGGGCUUGCCUGCUCGUUAGUGGCGGACGGCUGAGUAACGCGUAGGUGACCUGCCCCGAAGUGGGGAAUAACUGCCCGAAAGGGUGGCUAAUACCGCAUGUGGAGCCUGGUUCGUUCCAGUCUCCAAAGCAGCAAUGCGCUUCGGGAGGGGCCUGCGUCCGAUUAGCUCGUUGGUGGGGUAACGGCUCACCAAGGCGACGAUCGGUAGGUGGUCUGAGAGGACGAUCACCCAGACUGGGACUGAGACACGGCCCAGACUCCUACGGGAGGCAGCAGUCGGGAAUUUUGCUCAAUGGGCGAAAGCCUGAAGCAGCAACGCCGCGUGAGGGAUGACGGCCUUCGGGUUGUAAACCUCUUUUCUCAGGGACGAUGAUGACGGUACCUGAGGAAUAAGCCACGGCUAACUACGUGCCAGCCGCCGCGGUAAAAC
rnacentral:rRNA from 1 species